rnacentral:lncRNA from 1 species
CGCGAGUGUCUUCAGAGAGGGACGCUUCAGGCUUCACGCUUGUUCGCCAGGAACAGCCAUUUUGUUCCAAGACGCAGCAGAAAUGGGUUGUCGGUUGUGACGUUUCCCACGAUGAAAAUUAAAAAGUGAUUUAGCACGUAGAAACCAAGUUGCCAAAUCAUUCAACUCUGACUUGGAAGUGCCAGUACAUUUCUGAAAUAGCGUGCCUCGUGUGUCUCGCUGCCUGCCUUAGACGUACGUCUCAUUCCAUGCAACAGCAAAAAGUUUAACAAACACUUCUUCAACGCUGUUGGUUACCUUGUUGCAACCAAAUGGUGAAAGGUGUGACGAAGACAGAUUGAACUAUUGUAUGCAGCAUGCGGUUUAAGUGUAAUCUAGAAGUUGUUGUGCUGUUGUAGCUGAGCUGUUCCAUCUGGGUUCCUGAUUUAAAAAUUUAGGUUGUUUUUUCAUCCAUGCUAUGAAAUUGUUCUGUGUUAACUGUGUGCUGACAAAAAAAUUUUAUCUGUUGACAUUCGAGUAUUCAUAUAAUUAUGCGGUAUUCGAUUGAGGCAAUAAACUGGAAUUAGCAAAAUA